rnacentral:rRNA from 1 species
CACGUAGGGUGCGAGCGUUGUCCGGAAUUAUUGGGCGUAAAGAGCUCGUAGGCGGUGUGUCACGUCGGCCGUGAAAACCUGCAGCUUAACUGUGGGCGUGCGGUCGAUACGGGCAUCACUGGAGUUCGGCAGGGGAGACUGGAAUUCCUGGUGUAGCGGUGAAAUGCGCAGAUAUCAGGAGGAACACCGGUGGCGAAGGCGGGUCUCUGGGCCGAUAACUGACGCUGAGGAGCGAAAGCGUGGGGAGCGAACAGG